rnacentral:rRNA from 1 species
UACAUGGGGUGCAAACGUUGCUCGGAAUUAUUGGGCGUAAAGCGCGCGUAGGCGGUUACUCAAGUCGGAUGUGAAAUCCCUCGGCUUAACCGGGGAACUGCGUCUGAUACUGGAUGGCUUGAGUUUGGGAGAGGGACGCGGAAUUCCAGGUGUAGCGGUGAAAUGCGUAGAUAUCUGGAGGAACACCGGUGGCGAAGGCGGCGUCCUGGACCAACACUGACACUGAGGAGCGAAAGCCAGGGGAGCAAACGGG